ACAGUACAAACUGAUCAGGCCGGGACAACUUGCCGUCCGGAGCCGGGUUGCGAAAGUGACAGUGGGACGAUUUCACCCACGGGACAGUA
rnacentral:ncRNA from 1 species